ACGCUCGACACCUACGGGGGGCAGCAGUGGGGAAUAUUGCACAAUGGGGGAAACCCUGAUGCAGCGACGCCGCGUGAGCGAAGAAGUAUUUCGGUAUGUAAAGCUCUAUCAGCAGGGAAGAUAAUGACGGUACCUGACUAAGAAGCUCCGGCUAAAUACGUGCCAGCAGCCGACGGUAAUCUGAGCGGGCUGGCAAGGC
rnacentral:rRNA from 1 species